rnacentral:rRNA from 1 species
GAUGAACGCUAGCGGCAGGCUUAAUACAUGCAAGUCGAGGGGUAGCAGGUCUGUAGCAAUACAGAUGCUGACGACCGGCAAACGGGUGCGGAACACGUACAGAACCUUCCUUCGAGUGGGAGAUAGCCCAGGGAAACUUGGAGUAAUAUCCCAUAGGAUCAUAGAGUGGCAUCACUUAGUGAUUAAAGAUCUAUCGCUUGAAGAUGGCUGUGCGGCUGAUUAGGUAGUUGGUGUAGGUAACGGCUCACCAAGCCUUCGAUCAGUAACUGGUGUGAGAGCACGACCAGUCACACGGGCACUGAGACACGGGCCCGACUCCUACGGGAGGCAGCAGUAAGGAAUAUUGGGCAAUGGAGGCAACUCUGACCCAGCCAUGCCGCGUGGAGGAUGAAGGUCCUCUGGAUUGUAAACUUCUUUUAUUUGGGAAGAAAUGCCGAUUUUCUAAUUGGUUUGACGGUACUAGAUGAAUAAGCACCGGCUAACUACGUGCCAGCCGCCGCCGUAAUAC